UGGUUCUGGCAUCGAUGAAGAACGCAGCGAAAUGCGAUAAGUAAUGCGAAUUGCAGAAUUCCAGUGAGUCAUCGAAUCUUUGAACGCACAUUGCGCCCUUUGGUAUUCCGAAGGGCAUGCCUGUUCGAGCGUCAUUAUCACCCCUCAAGCCCCUCCGGCUUGGCGUUGGAUGGUCGGUGAAAGGAGCCUUUUACCCCUCCCAAAGACAAUGACGGCGGCCUCGUUGGACCCCCGGUACACUGAGUUCUUCACGGAACACGUACUGGAUGAUAGGGUUUACGGACACGGUCUGCCUCCCACUCGGGAGAAUUUUUUUACAAGAUUGACCUCGGAUCAGGUAGGAAUACCCGCUGA
rnacentral:misc_RNA from 1 species